rnacentral:rRNA from 1 species
UACAGAGGUCUCAAGCGUUGUUCGGAUUCAUUGGGCGUAAAGGGUGUGUAGGUGGCGCGCCAAGUCGGGUGUGAAAUUUCGGAGCUUAACUCCGAAACUGCAUUCGAUACUGGCGUGCUUGAGGACUGGAGAGGAGACUGGAAUUCAUGGUGUAGCAGUGAAAUGCGUAGAGAUCAUGAGGAAGACCAGUGGCGAAGGCGGGUCUCUGGGCCGUAACUGACGCUGAGGAGCGAAAGCGUGGGGAGCGAACAGG